UACGUAGGGGGCAAGCGUUAUCCGGAUUUACUGGGUGUAAAGGGAGCGUAGACGGCUUUGCAAGCCAGAUGUGAAAGCCCGGGGCUCAACCCCGGGACCGCAUUUGGAACUGUAUGGCUGGAGUGUCGGAGAGGCAGGCGGAAUUCCUAGUGUAGCGGUGAAAUGCGUAGGUAUUAGGAGGAACACCAGUGGCGAAGGCGGCCUGCUGGACGAUGACUGACGUUGAGGCUCGAAAGCGUGGGGAGCAAACAGG
rnacentral:rRNA from 1 species